rnacentral:rRNA from 1 species
GUCCGAGCUUGAAAGAUGGCUUCGGCUAUCACUUUUGGAUGGUCCCGCGGCGUAUUAGCUAGAUGGUGGGGUAACGGCUCACCAUGGCAAUGAUACGUAGCCGACCUGAGAGGGUAAUCGGCCACAUUGGGACUGAGACACGGCCCAAACUCCUACGGGAGGCAGCAGUAGGGAAUCUUCCACAAUGGACGAAAGUCUGAUGGAGCAACGCCGCGUGAGUGAAGAAGGGUUUCGGCUCGUAAAACUCUGUUGUUAAAGAAGAACAUAUCUGAGAGUAACUGUUCAGGUAUUGACGGUAUUUAACCAGAAAGCCACGGCUAACUACGUGCCAGCAGCCGCGGUAAUACGUAGGUGGCAAGCGUUGUCCGGAUUUAUUGGGCGUAAAGCGAGCGCAGGCGGUUUUUUAAGUCUGAUGUGAAAGCCUUCGGCUCAACCGAAGAAGUGCAUCGGAAACUGGGAGACUUGAGUGCAGAAGAGGACAGUGGAACUCCAUGUGUAGCGGUGAAAUGCGUAGAUAUAUGGAAGAACACCAGUGGCGAAGGCGGCUGUCUGGUCUGUAACUGACGCUGAGGCUCGAAAGUAUGGGUAGCAAACAGGAUUAGAUACCCUGGUAGUCCAUACCGUAAACGAUGAAUGCUAAGUGUUGGAGGGUUUCCGCCCUUCAGUGCUGCAGCUAACGCAUUAAGCAUUCCGCCUGGGGAGUACGGCCGCAAGGCUGAAACUCAAAGGAAUUGACGGGGGCCCGCACAAGCGGUGGAGCAUGUGGUUUAAUUCGAAGCUACGCGAAGAACCUUACCAGGUCUUGACAUACUAUGCAAAUCUAAGAGAUUAGACGUUCCCUUCGGGGACAUGGAUACAGGUGGUGCAUGGUUGUCGUCAGCUCGUGUCGUGAGAUGUUGGGUUAAGUCCCGCAACGAGCGCAACCCUUAUUAUCAGUUGCCAGCAUUAAGUUGGGCACUCUGGUGAGAUGCCGGUGACAACCGGAAGAAGGGGGGAUGACGUCAAUCACCA